GCCCACCAGUAUAAUGCGGGAAUAUAUUUAAGUUCUAGGUCGCCCACCAGUAUAAUGCGGGAAGUACUAUUUAAGUUCUAGGUCGCCCACCAGUAUAAUGCAGGAAUACAUUUAAGUUCUAGGUCGCCCACCAGUAUAAUGCGGGAAUACAUUUAAGUUUUAGGUCGCCCACCAGUAUAAUGCGGGAAUACAUUUAUGUUCUAGGUCGCCCACCAGUAUAAUGCGGGAAUACAUUUAAGUUCUAAGUCGCCCACCAGUAUAAUGCGGGAAUACAUUUAGCUCUAGAUUGUGGAAUCAGUAGCCCCGCCUGAAGACGGAAGGUUACAACAGAGAUCCCCAAACAGGAAACAAUAAAAUCCC
rnacentral:lncRNA from 1 species